rnacentral:hammerhead_ribozyme from 1 species
AUCCAGUUGACUAGUCCCAAAUAGGACGAAAUGCGCGUCAAACUGGAU